AAAUUGAAGAGUUUGAUCAUGGCUCAGAUUGAACGCUGGCGGCAGGCCUAACACAUGCAAGUCGAACGGUAACAGGAAGCAGCUUGCUGCUUUGCUGACGAGUGGCGGACGGGUGAGUAAUGUCUGGGAAACUGCCUGAUGGAGGGGGAUAACUACUGGAAACGGUGGCUAAUACCGCAUAACGUCGCAAGACCAAAGAGGGGGACCUUCGGGCCUCUUGCCAUCAGAUGUGCCCAGAUGGGAUUAGCUAGUUGGUGAGGUAACGGCUCACCAAGGCGACGAUCCCUAGCUGGUCUGAGAGGAUGACCAGCCACACUGGAACUGAGACACGGUCCAGACUCCUACGGGAGGCAGCAGU
rnacentral:rRNA from 1 species